CUCAAUCUGCCAGCUCUGUUGAUUUUGUUUGUUGUUGAGGUUAAAAUGUAAAAUUGAAAUUUGAUGAGUCUCCUUCUUCUCCUUUGAUGUGAACUUCUUCUCUUUGCUGAAUUAUUGCUGAGUAGUGAAAAUUCUGCAUUUGAUUUGGCCUGAAUCUAGAAAAUUGGAGGCUCCUGGAGUCGUUGAUGAUCGUUGAUUUGGUUGUGGUUACUGUUCUAAGGUCGUAUAAUGAGACUGCAUUUUUGGUUUGGGAAGGAGAAAGAGUCAUAACUUAUGGCCAAAAACUAAUUGGAGCCACUGAUCCGC